rnacentral:rRNA from 1 species
AUUGAACGCUGGCGGCAUGCCUUACACAUGCAAGUCGAACGGUAACAGGUUAAGCUGACGAGUGGCGAACGGGUGAGUAAUAUAUCGGAACGUGCCCAGUCGUGGGGGAUAACUGCUCGAAAGAGCAGCUAAUACCGCAUACGACCUGAGGGUGAAAGCGGGGAAUCGCAAGACCUCGCGCGAUUGGAGCGGCCGAUAUCAGAUUAGGUAGUUGGUGGGGUAAAGGCCCAUCAAGCCAACGAUCUGUAGCUGGUCUGAGAGGACGACCAGCCACACUGGGACUGAGACACGGCCCAGACUCCUACGGGAGGCAGCAGUGGGGAAUUUUGGACAAUGGGCGCAAGCCUGAUCCAGCCAUGCCGCGUGCGGGAAGAAGGCCUUCGGGUUGUAAACCGCUUUUGUCAGGGAAGAAAAGGUUCUGGUUAAUACCUGGGACUCAUGACGGUACCUGAAGAAUAAGCACCGGCUAACUACGUGCCAGCCGCCGCGGUAA